GAUCGCGCCACGGCACUCUAGCCUGGGUGACAGAGCGAGGCUGCGCCUCGAAAAACAAAAAAACCCAAAAAACUCCCAAACCCUCAACAGAAGAUAUGAUGAUCUGGGAAACUUGAAGUGGGAUCAGGGAGGGCUGUGAGAUGCAGGCGCCGCCCAGCAGCGAGGCGCCUGUUGAGAGCUCCCGCAGGCCUUCGCAAGCCGGAGCCCUCAGCGGACGAUGUUCAGGGACUAGCGGGCGAGGCGCUCGGACAGGGCUGACCCGCCUUCAGCAGGCACCAGCACUACGCUGCCGGCGUCGGCCGAGAUCCCUCUGGGCAGUUCCGCCUCAGGCUCCGGUCUGCGCAGCCGCGGGAAGCCGUGCCGUUUUUCCUCCCAUCGCCACGACAGCGGAGUUGCGGGCGGCGCUAGAGUAGCGGCUCGGUGCCCUGGCCAUCCACACUGAGGUCGUGGAGCACCCCGAGGUAUUUACAGUUGAAGAAAUGAUGCCUCAUAUCCAACAUCUGAAAGGAGCACAUAGUAAGAACUUAUUUCUUAAAGACAAAAAGAAAAAGAAUUAUUGGCUGGUGACAGUUCUUCAUGAUAGACAAAUUAAUUUAAAUGAGCUUGCCAAGCAGUUAGGUGUUGGGAGUGGACAUCUGCGAUUUGCUGAUGAAACAGCCAUGCUAGAAAAACUAAAAGUUGGUCAAGGCUGUGCUACACCCUUGGCACUUUUCUGUGAUGGUGGAGAUGUGAAGUUUGUUCUGGAUUCUGCUUUUCUCGAAGGUGGACAUGAAAAGGUAUACUUUCAUCCAAUGACCAAUGCUGCAACCAUGGGAUUGAGCCCUGAAGACUUUCUUACAUUUGUGAAGAUGACAGGACACGAUCCCGUAAUACUAAAUUUUGAUAAAAACAACUAAUUGGGCCAAUGUUCAGAAUAAAUUUCUUUCUGAAA